UACGUAGGGCGCAAGCGUUGUCCGGAAUUAUUGGGCGUAAAGAGCUCGUAGGUGGCUUGUUGCGUCUGCCGUGAAAUCCCGUGGCUUAACUGCGGGUCUGCGGUGGAUACGGGGCAGGGCUAGAGGCUGGUAGGGGCAAGCGGAAUUCCUGGUGUAGCGGUGAAAUGCGCAGAUAUCAGGAGGAACACCGGUGGCGAAGGCGGCUUGCUGGGCCAGUUCUGACGCUGGAGGAGCGAAAGCGUGGGGAGCGAACAGG
rnacentral:rRNA from 1 species